rnacentral:pre_miRNA from 1 species
AUAUGAAUUAUCUGGGGAUCUUGUUAAAAGAUAGACUUUAAUCUGGUAGAUUUGAGGUGAACCUGAGAUUAUUCAUUUCUAAUAACCUCCCAGGUAAUGCUGAU